CCCCUAGACGUUCUGGGCUGCACGCGCGCUACAAUAAUACGCACAGCGAGUAUCACCGAGCUCGAAAGGGCAAGGUAAACAAUAGAAAAGGUACUGUAAUGGUUAUAGAUCCUUGUAAUUAUUGAUCUUCAACGAGGAAUUCCUAGUAAGUAUGUGUCAUCAUCACGCACUGAUUACGUCCCUGCCCUUUGUACACACCGCCCGUCGCUCCUACCGAUUGAGUGGUCCGGUGAGGCUUUGGGAUCUGAGCGGAAAGAGCGUUUCGCUGUUUCUGCUCGGAAAACUCAGUCGAACCUUAUCAUUUAGAGGAAGGAGAAGUCGUAACA
rnacentral:rRNA from 1 species